UACGGGGGGGGCAAGCGUUGUUCGGAAUUACUGGGCGUAAAGGGCGCGUAGGCGGUCUGUUAAGUCGGAUGUGAAAACUCUGGGCUCAACCCAGAGUCUGCAUCCGAAACUGGCAGGCUAGAGUUCUGGAGGGGGUAGCGGAAUUCCUGGUGUAGCGGUGAAAUGCGUAGAUAUCAGGAGGAACACCGGUGGCGAAGGCGGCUACCUGGACAGAAACUGACGCUGAGGCGCGAAAGCUAGGGGAGCAAACAGG
rnacentral:rRNA from 1 species